AGGAUAUUCAAUAAGCCCUGCCAACUCUGGAAACGGGUCGAGUCUUCUGUUGGCUCCACAGAGGCUGAAGCAGCCCUCGCCGCCGCCCUCGCCGCCGCCGUCGCCGCCGCCGCCGCCGCGGCGGCCCCUGCGUUACUGGGGGAGACGGUGCCGCUGCGACAGGGGAGGACGCGGCUGGAGCUCAAGGAGGCUCCAGCGCGCAGGCGCCGCCGAGCCCUGCCUGGAUGCUCAGUCAAGGCACUAAGGCAAAAAAAAAAAUCAGCAAUUUAUAGAAAGAAGAAGCUAUAGUCUGUCGGGAUAUCCAACGCCAACAGGUAGGAGGAUAUACUCUCGGUUAAGUUUGGGGGGAGGGGGGCGCACAGUGUUGAUGAAACUGCAGGUUCACGGGCACCGAGCCCUCCCUGAGGUUUUUUGUUUUUUGUUUUUUUGACAAUAAACUGCAUAAUGGAAGUACAUUCAGACAAUGCAUCUUCAGUAGGGCUUAUUGAGAGCUCCAUUUCUGGAAAGCGUUGCAAGACUGAGGAAAAUCAGACUGCGAAUCACCGGGAACAGUUCCCUUGCAGCACAGAAGCAAUCUCUCUCCCCAUCUUCGCAUAUUCUGAUGGCAAAUCAAAUGGAAGAAAAGAGGAAGCAUGACUGCAGAUCGCAUCAGUUCUCUUUGUGGAUUACAUUUUCAGUAAAAUGUAUGGAUCUAUCUUUUCCUUGUUCUUAUAUCUAGAUCAUGACACUUGACUGAGGCUGUA
rnacentral:lncRNA from 1 species